rnacentral:rRNA from 1 species
UACGGAGGGGGCUAGCGUUGUUCGGAAUUACUGGGCGUAAAGCGCGCGUAGGCGGACCUGCAAGUCGGGGGGUGAAAGCCCGAGGCUCAACCUCGGAACUGCCUUCGAUACUGCGGGUCUCGAGUCCGGGAGAGGUGAGUGGAAUUCCUAGUGUAGAGGUGAAAUUCGUAGAUAUUAGGAAGAACACCAGUGGCGAAAGGCGGCUCACUGGCCCGGUACUGACGCUGAGGCGCGAAAGCGUGGG